rnacentral:lncRNA from 1 species
GUUUGGGGUUUAGGGUCUUAGGUCAAGGGUCUAGGGUCUAGAACUUAGGGUUUGUGGUUUAGGAUUUAGAUUUUAGGGUUUAGAGUUUAAAAUUUAGUUCUAUGACUAAUCUAUUAUCAAAUAUUAUGUUUGCUGACUUCUAUGAAUCCACCCAUACUCGAUUGGUUUAAUUUAUUUUAUUUAUUAAAGAAAAAAAGUUAAGGCCUUUUCAACUUGGAU